rnacentral:tRNA from 1 species
GGAGAGGUGGCCGAGAGGCUUAUGGCGCCGCUCUCGAAAAGCGGAACCCGAGAAAUUGGGUCGUGGGUUCAAAUCCCACCCUCUCCGCCA